rnacentral:rRNA from 1 species
UACGUAGGGUGCGAGCGUUGUCCGGAAUUAUUGGGCGUAAAGAGCUCGUAGGCGGCUUGUCGCGUCGGAUGUGAAAGCCCGGGGCCUAACUCCGGGUCUGCAUUCGAUACGGGCUGGCUAGAGUGUGGUAGGGGAGAUCGGAAUUCCUGGUGUAGCGGUGAAAUGCGCAGAUAUCAGGAGGAACACCGGUGGCGAAGGCGGAUCUCUGGGCCGAUACUGACGCUGAGGAGCGAAAGCGUGGGGAGCGAACAGG